CCUACGGGGGGCAGCAGUGGGGAAUUUUGGACAAUGGGGGAAACCCUGAUCCAGCAAUGCCGCGUGAGUGAAGAAGGCCUUCGGGUUGUAAAGCUCUUUCAGUUGAGAAGAAAAGAUUGUGACUAAUAAUCAUAAUUAAUGACGGUAUCAACAGAAGAAGCACCGGCUAACUACGUGCCAGCAGCCGCGGUAAUACGUAGGGUGCGAGCGUUAAUCGGAAUUACUGGGCGUAAAGGGUGCGCAGGCGGUUAUGUAAGUCAGAUGUGAAAUCCCCGGGCUUAACCUGGGAAUUGCGUUUGAAACUACAUGACUAGAGUGUAACAGAGGGAAGUGGAAUUCCAUGUGUAGCAGUGAAAUGCGUAGAGAUAUGGAGGAACAUCGAUGGCGAAGGCAGCUUCCUGGGUUAACACUGACGCUCAUGCACGAAAGCGUGGGGAGCAAACAGGAUUAGAUACCCGGGUAGUC
rnacentral:rRNA from 1 species